rnacentral:tRNA from 1 species
GGUAGACGCUACGGACUUGAAAAUCCGUUGGUUUAUUGACCGUGAGGGUUCAAGUCCCUCUACCCCCA